UAACAUGAGAGUUUGAUCCUGGCUCAGGAUGAACGCUGGCGGCGUGCUUAACACAUGCAAGUCGAACGGAUCCAUACUGAAACCUAGUGAUGUAUGGAUUAGUGGCGGACGGGUGAGUAACGCGUGGAUAACCUGCCAUAUACAGGGGGAUAACACUUAGAAAUAGGUGCUAAUACCGCAUAAGCGCACAGCUUUGCAUGAAGCAGUGUGAAAAACUCCGGUGGUAUAUGAUGGAUCCGCGUCUGAUUAGCUUGUUGGCGGGGUAAAGGCCCACCAAGGCGACGAUCAGUAGCCGGCCUGAGAGGGUGAACGGCCACAUUGGGACUGAGACACGGCCCAAACUCCUACGGGAGGCAGCAGUGGGGAAUAUUGCACAAUGGGGGAAACCCUGAUGCAGCGACGCCGCGUGAGUGAAGAAGUAUUUCGGUACGUAAAGCUCUAUCAGCAGGGAAGAAAAUGACGGUACCUGACCAAGAAGCCCCGGCUAACUACGUGCCAGCAGCCGCG
rnacentral:rRNA from 1 species